UACGAGGGGUCCAAGCGUUGUUCGGAAUCAUUGGGCGUAAAGCGGGUGUAGGUGGCUCUAUAAGUCAGACGUGAAAGCCCCGGGCUUAACCCGGGAAGUGCUUUUGAUACUGCAGAGCUUGAAUGUGGGAGAGGGUAGUGGAAUUCCAGGUGUAGUGGUGAAAUACGUAGAGAUCGGGAGGAACACCUGUGGCGAAAGCGGCGCACUGGACCACAACUGACGCUGAGGCGCGAAAGCUAGGGGAGCAAACAGG
rnacentral:rRNA from 1 species